AGCGGCGGACGGGUGAGUAAUGUCUGGGAAACUGCCUGAUGGAGGGGGAUAACUACUGGAAACGGUAGCUAAUACCGCAUAACGUCUUCGGACCAAAGUGGGGGACCUUCGGGCCUCACGCCAUCGGAUGUGCCCAGAUGGGAUUAGCUAGUAGGUGGGGUAAUGGCUCACCUAGGCGACGAUCCCUAGCUGGUCUGAGAGGAUGACCAGCCACACUGGAACUGAGACACGGUCCAGACUCCUACGGGAGGCAGCAGUGGGGAAUAUUGCACAAUGGGCGCAAGCCUGAUGCAGCCAUGCCGCGUGUGUGAAGAAGGCCUUCGGGUUGUAAAGCACUUUCAGCGAGGAGGAAGGCAUAAAGGUUAAUAACCUUUGUGAUUGACGUUACUCGCAGAAGAAGCACCGGCUAACUCCGUGCCAGCAGCCGC
rnacentral:rRNA from 1 species